rnacentral:rRNA from 1 species
GGAGAGCUUGCUCGAAGACGGUGAGAGUGGCGCACGGGUGCGUAACGCGUGAGCAACCUACCUCUAUCAGGGGGAUAGCCUCUCGAAAGAGAGAUUAACACCGCAUAAUAUAAUUUGCCGGCAUCGGGAAAUUAUUAAAUAUUUAUAGGAUAGAGAUGGGCUCGCGUGACAUUAGCUAGUUGGUAGGGUAACGGCUUACCAAGGCGACGAUGUCUAGGGGCUCUGAGAGGAGAAUCCCCCACACUGGUACUGAGACACGGACCAGACUCCUACGGGAGGCAGCAGUAAGGAAUAUUGGUCAAUGGGCGGAAGCCUGAACCAGCCAUGCCGCGUGCAGGAAGACUGCCCUAUGGGUUGUAAACUGCUUUUGUCCAGGAAUAAACCUNNNUACGUGUANGGAGCUGAAUGUACUGGAAGAAUAAGGAUCGGCUAACUCCGUGCCAGCAGCCGCGGUAAUACGGAGGAUCCGAGCGUUAUCCGGAUUUAUUGGGUUUAAAGGGUGCGUAGGCGGCCUAUUAAGUCAGGGGUGAAAUACGGUGGCUCAACCAUCGCAGUGCCUUUGAUACUGAUGGGCUUGAAUCCAUUUGAAGUGGGCGGAAUAAGACAAGUAGCGGUGAAAUGCAUAGAUAUGUCUUAGAACUCCGAUUGCGAANGCAGCUCACUAAGCUGGUAUUGACGCUGAUGCACGAAAGCGUGGGGAUCGAACAGGAUUAGAUACCCUGGUAGUCCACGCCCUAAACGAUGAUAACUCGAUGUUGGCGAUAGACAGCCAGCGUCCAAGCGAAAGCGUUAAGUUAUCCACCUGGGGAGUACGCCCGCA